ACAAAAACAAUAAUAAAUAACUGCAAAGCAACAACAAUUAAGAAAAAAAAAAAAAUAAGCAACGUCAACGGCGAAACGGCGCAGUGUCAAUAAAACUCUCGAAUUCAUUAACACGACACAAAACGUUCUAUUAGUAAGCACUUGCAAAUUUGACGAAAUGAAAUGGAGACGGCGACUCGAGCAAGCCGAGACAAGCUACAAAUUAGCGUGGAGAGACCCUAUCGAAUCGCCAAAGAGGAGCAACACAACAAUCGAACAGCGGUUGAAAGGUCUAAGCUAUCAAAUAGUGAAACAGACACACAGACAGAUAUCAUAAAAGUCAGACGCGGACACAAAAAACUGAAUGCUCAAGUUUCGAGUCAUAAAAUCGCUGCGAUCAUAUCCUUGGCCUCUAAAGUUCAGGUUUAAACGAUGCAGCAGGUUUCGCUGCUCAGCAAUGCGUUGGUGUAGCCCUACAGGUUGAUAAGAAUGAAAUGUGCCUGAAUCGAAGCUGACUGCAUCCUGAACUUGUCAAUCAUGGAACUGAUCUGCAUAUUGGCUGCAAGGCUAGCGCACGCUUCCUGUUGGGUAAGCUGAUACUCAGCAGCGACUUGAGGCAGCUAAGGCUGGUAGACCAGAUUGAUGUUUAGUCAGAGAGAGAGAGAGAGAGAGAGAGAGAAAGAGAGAGAGAGAGAGAGAGCGCAACAAUGCCAACUCUUUGACAGAGAUAGACACAUACAUAAACUCAUCUAGUCGACCCCGUCAGUGUAUAGACCUGACCUCUGCUAGCUGCCAAGACUAAUUUAUCAAAUGGUUCAAGGGUGGCCUAUCAAAGCCACACGAGCUGUUGCAUAAUUAGGGGGGAAACCACAGAAAACAGAAACUGAAAAAAAAAAAAAAAAACAAAACACAAAUGCGUUUUUAAACCAUUGAGCAACGCCUCUUUCUAACAGUUUUCUGUUAUUAGUUUGGGUUUCCAUUCGCUUUUUCCUUUCA
rnacentral:misc_RNA from 1 species